UCAAACUUGGUCAUUUAGAGGAAGUAAAAGUCGUAACAAGGUCUCCGUUGGUGAACCAGCGGAGGGAUCAUUACCGAGUUGCAAGACUCCCAAACCACUGUGAACCUUACCUGACGUUGCUUCGGCGGAUCCGCCCCGGCGCUCUCGCGACCGGAACCAUGGCGCCCGCCGGGGAAAAAAACACCCAAACCCUUUGAAUCUCUGUGGAUUAUCUGAGUGGCGAAAGCACAAAUACAAUCAAAACUUUCAACAACGGAUCUCUUGGCUCUGGCAUCGAUGAAGAACGCAG
rnacentral:misc_RNA from 1 species